GGGGUCUGAAUCUGAAUCCGCGUGUUUUUCGCCUUGAAUCGUUGUUGUACCAGUUACCGCCUUGACCGCCCACCCGGCACCGUUUCCCCCUCCGGUGUCCCACCCAACCAACCCACUGUCCAACCGUCCAACGCGACGCCUACGCGCGCGACAAGUGAAGCGCACAGGUAUUUGCGCUUGUAUUGUGUACUUUCUGUGCCUGUGUGUGCGUGAUUUUCCUUUUGUUUGCGGCCCAAUUGUUUGUCGUAAUUGAAUGCUAGUCGCAGUCGCUAAGAGAAUUGCGAAAAACGCAAUAGAAAAAAAAACAUAUUGGAAAAAAGGUACAAAAACCAAUACCCACACACACACACACACACAUCGAUAAGAAGAGCAGAGCAGUGGCAGAAGCAGCAUUUUAAGAAGCAUAUAAAAACCAGUUUUCGAGCAGAAGCAGCAGCGCAGUCGCAGCGGCCAAACUGAGUUUCUAUGGACUUUCAUUGGUUUCUAUCUGGAUAAUCUACCCAGACAACAGAUUUUGAGAACUUUCGCAGAGCCCCUAAGUGACAGCAAAAAUCAUCGCAGAAGAAAUAAACCAAAACGAAACGAAACGAAUAAAUAGUUUAUUUUGAUACCCAAGCCCCGGAACUAUAUGAGAGGUACGAGAGCUACGAGAGCCAUGAUGCCGACCACCGAAUCGAGGCACAGCGGAUGGGCUGUCCUGGC